rnacentral:rRNA from 1 species
UGCCAGCCGCCGCGGUAAUACGGAGGGCGCAAGCGUUGUUCGGAAUCAUUGGGCGUAAAGCGGGUGCAGGCGGUCGUGCAAGUCGGAUGUGAAAUCCCCGGGCCCAACCCUGGAAUUGCAUUCGAAACUGCUCGACUAGAGUCCCGGAGAGGGUGGCGGAAUUCCCGGUGUAGAGGUGAAAUUCGUAGAUAUCGGGAGGAACACCAGUGGCGAAGGCGGCCACCUGGACGGUGACUGACGCUCAGACCCGAAAGCGUGGGGAGCGAACAGGAUUAGAUA